rnacentral:lncRNA from 1 species
GUCAGCAUUGUGGUCAUUUGUAUGCUGAACUACCAUGUUGGCCUAUCAAUAACGCUUGCUAUCAAUGUAGAAGCAUCCAAUACCUUAUAAAGGAAUACCCUCAGUGACCGAAGGAUGUGGCCAGACUUGUAGUCCAAGAUCGUGUGUGCCACCUAAAUGAACCUGGUGCCCUCCCCACUCUUGUCCUUAUUCAGGGUAUGCUUUAUAUCCAUGAUACUUUUGCCAAAGCUUUGAUUGAUACAGGUGCUACCCACUCUUUUAUCCCUUAUACAUUUGCUUGUAAAUUAGAUAUUAGAUCUGAACCUUUAAAGAAAAUAUUAGCUGUAGAGACUCCCUCUAGGAGAUUAUUAAAAGCUCACUAUGUGUAC